UUCUUGCAGAAUCUGCUUUGACAUGCCAUCUGUCAGCACUUACUAUUAGGGAAUCAAAUGAUAGCACUGUAGAAGCGUGUGGGUUACCAUUUGCUGAAGAUCUCACUGGCAUUGAUUCUGUCCAUCUCGCUGGAGAGGGUCCUGAUGCUGAAUCACUUGAAGGUUCUUU